CAACCCCGCCCAAAUCACAUACUGCAGGCGUGUCAUGAGUUUCCAGGGAGUGAUUGAUUGAUCUACUGCUCACCUGGGCUAGACCUACCUGUAACUCUUCAGUGCUGCCGUGGAAACAGCGGAGAAACACACGGCCACGGAACAACACGGCACCCGCGGUAAGAAGGAAAAUGGCGAUUUUUCUGGUUUUGCUAAUUGCAGUGCACUUGACUUUGGCCGGAGAUGACUGUUAUAAAGUAUGCGUUGACAACAUUCAAGAUAAGCUGAUGUGCUUUGAAACAAAUUCAGAAACACCGCUGUGUUGUUUAGAUGCCAGUUGUGAUAAAAAGUGUCAGCUCGAAGGCAAUUGCAUUUACUUUGACGAACUACCUAGUUGUUAUUUAAAUACUGAAGAAAAGAAACCAGAAAAGUGUGAACACCAGACAGUGAGAAAAAUAAUCUCUGAAGAAAGCUCCAACAAAUCUGGAUACCAGAUGACAGACCUGCUACUCCUUUUGACUCUAGCAAUUGUUCUCAUGGUAUAUCUACGUUGACACAGAGGCACAUAUAGAUAGAACGUUGGCGGGGUUUCCAUGGAAAAAUAUUCAAGAAAACACUUUUAUUAAACUAGGUUUCUAUGACGGUUGUAGGUUUUAGGCCCUUAUAAAUUGUACCAUGAAAUUAUCUUAGGGUGCUAAAAAUAUCCAGCACUUGCAAUAUUAUCACUAAUAACUCUUUCUUGUGUCUUGAAUGUAUCUUUUCCUAAUCCGCUUUCUCUGUCCACUACAGCAGAGGCACCAAAUCAUAAAAUCAAACAAAAGUUAGGUGCUGAUGUGAAUUGUAUCUUCAUUACUUGCAAUGGGAUUGUAAUCAAAUUAAUUUUAUGGAAAUAU